rnacentral:rRNA from 1 species
CCCUUAGAUGUUCUGGGCCGCACGCGCGCUACACUGAUUCAUGCAACAAGUUUUGUCCUUGGCUGAUAGGCCUGGGUAAUCUUUGAACGUGAAUCGUGAUGGGGAUAGAUGAUUGCAAUUAUUCAUCUUCAACGAGGAAUUCCUAGUAAACGCAAGUCAUCAGCUUGCAUUGAUUACGUCCCUGCCCUUUGUACACACCGCCCGUCGCACCUACCGAUUGAAUGGUCCGGUGAAAUCUUCGGAUCUGAGAGAUGUCUGAUUAAUUUCGGACGCCUUUUGGAGAAGUUGCUUAAACCUUACCAUUUAGAGGAAGGUGAAGUCGUAACA